UCCGNUUAACGCGGAAAGGAACCUUUACCUGGGCUGUAACAUCUGGGGAAUCUCCNUGUGAAAAGGGGAGUNGCCCUUUCGGGAACCCCCAAGAUCAGGUGGCUUGCAUGGCUGUCGUCAGCUCGUGUCGUGAGGUGUUGGGUUAAGUCCCGCAACGAGCGCAACCCCUAUCAUUAGUUGCCAUCAGUUCGGCUGGGCACUCUAAUGAGACUGCCGGUGUUAAACCGGAGGAAGGUGGGGAUGACGUCAAGUCCUCAUGGCCCUUAUGCCCAGGGCUACUCACGUGCUACAAUGGCCGGCACAGAGGGUCGCGAAUCGCGAGAGCAAGCCAAUCCCUAAAAGCCGGCCUGUUGGAGUCUGCAAUUCGACUCCAUGAAGGAGGAAUCGCUAGUAAUCGCGAUCAGCAUGCCGCGGUGAUA
rnacentral:rRNA from 1 species